AUUGAACGCUGGCGGCAUGCUUUACACAUGCAAGUCGAACGGUAACAGGUUAAGCUGACGAGUGGCGAACGGGUGAGUAACGCAUCGGAACGUGCCCGAUCGUGGGGGAUAACGCAGCGAAAGCUGCGCUAAUACCGCAUACGAUCUGAGGAUGAAAGCGGGGGACCGUAAGGCCUCGCGCGAUCGGAGCGGCCGAUGUCAGAUUAGGUAGUUGGUGGGGUAAAGGCUCACCAAGCCGACGAUCUGUAGCUGGUCUGAGAGGACGACCAGCCACACUGGGACUGAGACACGGCCCAGACUCCUACGGGAGGCAGCAGUGGGGAAUUUUGGACAAUGGGCGCAAGCCUGAUCCAGCAAUGCCGCGUGCAGGAAGAAGGCCUUCGGGUUGUAAACUGCUUUUGUACGGAGCGAAAAGGUCCUUUCUAAUACAGAGGGCUCAUGACGGUACCGUAAGAAUAAGCACCGGCUAACUACGUGCCAGCCGCCGCCGUAA
rnacentral:rRNA from 1 species